CCGACGGUGAGAGGCGAAAGCUGGGGGCACGAACCGGAUUAGAUACCCGGGUAGUCCCAGCCGUAAACGAUGCUCGCUAGGUGUCAGGCAUGGCGCGACCGUGUCUGGUGCCGCGGGGAAGCCGUGAAGCGAGCCACCUGGGAAGUACGGCCGCAAGGCUGAAACUUAAAGGAAUUGGCGGGGGAGCACAACAACGGGUGGAGCCUGCGGUUUAAUUGGACUCAACGCCGGACAACUCACCGGGGGCGACAGCAAUAUGUAGGCCAAGCUGAAGACUUUGCCUGAAUCGCUGAGAGGAGGUGCAUGGCCGUCGCCAGUUCGUACUG
rnacentral:rRNA from 1 species